rnacentral:rRNA from 1 species
UACGGGGGGGGCAAGCGUUGUUCGGAAUUACUGGGCGUAAAGGGCGCGUAGGCGGUCUGUUAAGUGUAGAGUGAAAUCUCCAGGGCUCAACCCGGAAACUGCUCUGCAUACUGGCAGACUUGAGGGACUGAGAGGUGAAUGGAAUUCCUGGUGUAGCGGUGAAAUGCGUAGAUAUCUGGAGGAACACCGGUGGCGAAGGCGGCAUCCUGGACCGACACUGACGCUGAGGAGCGAAAGCCAGGGGAGCAAACGGG